GCUGGCGGCGUGCCUAAUACAUGCAAGUCGAGCGGACAGAUGGGAGCUUGCUCCCUGAUGUUAGCGGCGGACGGGUGAGUAACACGUGGGUAACCUGCCUGUAAGACUGGGAUAACUCCGGGAAACCGGGGCUAAUACCGGAUGGUUGUUUGAACCGCAUGGUUCAAACAUAAAAGGUGGCUUCGGCUACCACUUACAGAUGGACCCGCGGCGCAUUAGCUAGUUGGUGAGGUAACGGCUCACCAAGGCAACGAUGCGUAGCCGACCUGAGAGGGUGAUCGGCCACACUGGGACUGAGACACGGCCCAGACUCCUACGGGAGGCAGCAGUAGGGAAUCUUCCGCAAUGGACGAAAGUCUGACGGAGCAACGCCGCGUGAGUGAUGAAGGUUUUCGGAUCGUAAAGCUCUGUUGUUAGGGAAGAACAAGUACCGUUCGAAUAGGGCGGUACCUUGACGGUACCUAACCAGAAAGCCACGGCUAACUACGUGCCAGCAGCCGCGGUAAUACGUAGGUGGCAAGCGUUGUCCGGAAUUAUUGGGCGUAAAGGGCUCGCA
rnacentral:rRNA from 1 species